AAACAGUCGUGAAAUAUUAGAAAGAGAUAUACGACAUUGACCGUAAUAAUUAUAACAUUUCAAGAAUUAAAUCACGAAAGAAUCACGUGUGUGUACUGAAGUGAGUUCUUACAUAAUCCUUCAAUGCUGCCAAAUGGUACUGGCUAAUGCGAAAUAGGCCAUGAUAAAUGAACCCUAUUCCCAUUUUUUUUAUUAACCCAUAAAAUUAUGGCAUCCGCUGCGUUGGGUAUUGGAUUUAAACGAAAAUAGCUCCGUAAUAGUGAAACGAGAUGACAUAACGUCUUGUAACAGAUAAUAAAUUCUUGUAUCGUAGUGAGCCAUCUGUUUGAAUUUGUACAAACGAUAAAGUUUAUACGAAAUUUUUAGAUGAUUUCGAUCAAAGUUUUAAGAUGUCCCUGAGAAGGACGGCACCCAGGAUGGCCAGUGUCUGCCGUAAGAACAUGCGAGGCGUACGGAGGACCGAGCUUACCUUCGCCACCUUUGUAAAACUUCACCGAGCGACGAGCUGAGCACAGCACGAGAGGAGUCGCGGUUGCGUUAUAUCGACACGAUCCCGUGCCGAGGACGAAUAUCACAGUGCGUUUUGUGGGUAAAAAUAUCACAUAACCCGGUUUCCACCCCCAAGGGAGCCGGAUAACUUUCUGAAGGUAAAAAAGGCAGUCUGACAAAUGGACUACCUGAUGUUAUGUCUACAUGUUAUAGAAAUAUUAAUCCUGAGUAACAAUGCCACUAACUUUGGGAAGAAGUAAGGUCUCAUAUACCUUGUGCCAGUAGUUAAACUGGAGAACUCACCCUUCCAAUCAGAACUUAACAUUACUGAGUAUUGCUGCUUGACGGUAGAAUAUGUGAUGAAUGGUGGUUCAUACCCAGGCAGGCUUGCACAAACCUCUAACACCAAGUAAUAUAUGUAAGUAUACCCUUCAUAUCAUACGUAGGUAUCAGAUAUAUAACUAAUUGCGCUGUGGCGUUGCAACUUCAAACGGUCUGUGGCGGGUCAAGGAAUCUCGCAUAACGUUAUUAUUAAAAAAGUUAUGCACACA